UGGCUUUACUCUGGGCCACGCCAGCCAUGAACCUUUCUACUCUGUUAUUAUUGUUUUGGUACGGCUUGCGCAUGCGCAUAACGAAAGGCUCACAUUGUAAACAAACCGUUAACUCGAUGGAAAUUACGAGGACUUGAAGGAUUUCUGUAUUUGGGGACAUUCAAUGGCCAAUGAUGACAAAAUGGCGGAUUUCCCGAUGGAUUUUGUUUCUUCUCGAGUUUCUAUCCCCAAAAGAGGCGUGCGCGGGGGGCGGGGGAAUGAGAGGAGAACUCAACCCGAGAAUUCGACGUAUAACCUCAAAAUACAAAAAUUAUUAGGGAAGAGAGAGAGGUUUUUGAUGGAAUGGAGUUGAGAAGAUGGGAUCAAUGAAAAUGAGUAAACAGAUUGAGGGUGGCGCCUACGCCAUGACGCUGGUAAGAUGGACUUUUGCUUGUUGAAUCAUCAAUAUCUGUUGACCUCACAAUCCGAUUGGAGUGAGUCAGGUCGCAUUCUGAAGCGUGAUAAAUAUAUUUUAAGUGAAAAAAAAAUUAGCGAAUUUCACUCUGCCGAUCUCCAAAUAUUUACUAUUUAAAAAAACUCAUUUUACCAUGCGAUUUUAUAUUUUCGAGUGUUCUCAUUAAUUUUUUGCUCAAAGAACCAAAGGAAAACGGUGAGCAAGCGACCGUUGUUAUUAUCAUAAAAAAAACCAACGUUAUAAGUUAUUCAUACCGAAUAUAUACCCAUAUACUGUACAUAAUAGAAUUUAUGAAAUAAAUGAACUUCUUGAUAACUACAGAAAGAUGGAUUGAUGGAGGAGUGGGGAUUCUUCUCUGGGCUCUUCGUUUCCGUUGUGUUCUCUCUGUUUGGUCGGUUCAGCUUGGCGAUAUCGUGGGAAGAAAAAUAAGGGGGUUCGGGAUGUGAUGUACAUGUUUGGGAAAGGGCAUGGGGGGAGUGUCUGGAUGGCGCGGAUCAAGGUUACACGAGAAUCGACGGAUACGUCAUGUUGGGGAAGUAUAACUUUACAGGUUUUCCUCGUGUGGGGGAAAUUUUUCCGGAUUGACUAGAGAGGCCUUUUCCUUAGUGCCGAAACACAGGUGGCUCUGGGCGCCUGGACCAUCAGAGUUAUUCCAUAAACGUGCGUCAGGUAUCGAAUACCUUUGAUGACGCAGGGCCAGAUUUUCGUCUAAGCAAAUAACGAAUGCGGCGUUUUUCAUGAACAAUUCAGGGUUGACGAUCUCCAUGACGAGAUGGGGAUCGAGGCAGUUCGCCUAGCAACGCGGGCGAAAGCACAAUUAGGAUCUUCCAUCGAUUAUUCAUUAAAUUCAAUACAAUUCUGUGUGCAUUCAUCUUGAAUAGUAUGUUGGUAAUCAACUUUGCAAUAUACAAGCAUUAUUCUGAAUUGAGAAUGAAAUACGCCAACAUAGUUGUCAAAUAUUUACUACACUCCUAUAAAUUGAUAUUGCAAUUAAUUUUUAUUUCAUCAAAAACUUAUCUGAAUAAAGUAUCAACGUAAUUCUCUCUUGUUCAUUAAUAUUGGCUUUACGUUGACUAUAAUAUUUUUUUCACAGCCACCGUAGCGAUUGCUUU